AACGAACGCUGGCGGCAGGCUUAACACAUGCAAGUCGAACGGGUGUAGCAAUACAUCAGUGGCAGACGGGUGAGUAACACGUGGGAACCUUCCUAGGGGUACGGAACAACUCAGGGAAACUUGAGCUAAUACCGUAUACGUCCAUGAGGAGAAAGAUUUAUCGCCCUUAGACGGGCCCGCGUCGGAUUAGCUAGUUGGUGGGGUAACAGCCUACCAAGGCGACGAUCCGUAGCUGAUCUUAGAGGAUGAUCAGCCACACUGGGACUGAGACACGGCCCAGACUCCUACGGGAGGCAGCAGCGGGGAAUCUUGGACAAUGGGCGCAAGCCUGAUCCAGCCAUGCCGCGUGAGUGAAGAAGGUCUUCGGAUUGUAAAGCUCUUUUGCCAGGGACGAUAAUGACGGUACCUGGAGAAUAAGCCCCGGCAAACUUCGUGCCAGCCGCCGCCGUAA
rnacentral:rRNA from 1 species